rnacentral:lncRNA from 1 species
UUAAAAGUAGUAAAAGUUUUGGGCUUACUUGCAAAAUUACUUUAUUAAGAGAAUAUGUGGUUGAAAAUGAAUUAGAGAGAAAAAAUUGAGUUUUAUAUAAUGGGGCUCAAAUAGGGGCCAAAUAAAUUUCCUCAGCUGAGACAAGAUACAAACAAGUUAUCAACUCAAAGAGGCUGACUUACCAGGUAUCCUCGAGAAGGUAACCUUCCUUUGAUGAGAAAUAUGUAUGUAGGCCAGUGACUCAAGAUUGUCCCGCCUAAAGGUUUGACCCGAAGUAGCCAUUUUCUUUUUACAGACCAGAAAACUCUUGUUGUCACCCUAUCGUCAUCCGAAUAAGAAUCGUGAAACAAUUAAGCCCCUAUUUUUUAAGAAUAGAUUUUGUAAAAAAUGAUUUUUUUUUUUAGAAUGUGAGGUUUAAAAGUAGUAAAAGUUUUGGGUUUACUUGCAAAAUUACUUUAUUAUGAGAAUAUGUGGUUGAAAAUGAAUUAGAGAGAAAAAAUUGAGUUUUAUAUAAUGGGGCCCAAAUAGGGGCCAAAUAAAUUUCCUCAGCUGAGACAAGAUACAAACAAGUUAUCAACUCAAAGAGGCUGACUUACCAGGUAUCCUCGAGAAGGUAACCU